GUGCACGCUGGCGGUAGGCCUAACACAUGCAAGUCGAACGGCAGCACAGUAAGAGCUUGCUCUUACGGGUGGCGAGUGGCGGACGGGUGAGGAAUACAUCGGAAUCUACUUUUUCGUGGGGGAUAACGUAGGGAAACUUACGCUAAUACCGCAUACGACCUACGGGUGAAAGCAGGGGAUCUUCGGACCUUGCGCGAUUGAAUGAGCCGAUGUCGGAUUAGCUAGUUGGCGUGGUAAAGGCCCACCAAGGCGACGAUGCGUAGCUGGUCUGAGAGGGUGGACGGCGAGAGUAGGAAGGAGACACGGACCAGAAGAAGACGGGAAGCAGCAGGGGGGGAAAAUGCACGAGGGGCGGAAUACUGAGGAAGAGAGGAAGUGUGGGAGACAACGGAAGUCGGGUGGCAAACUCCUUGAGAAAGAGAAGAAGCCACCGGGAGGGAAGGGUGGUGACGGUAGGGGAAGAAGAAGCACCGGCUAACUACGUG
rnacentral:rRNA from 1 species